rnacentral:miRNA from 1 species
CGGUCGGCGGGGGAGGUCGCAGGA